GGUGAGAUGGCUCAGUGGGUAAGAGCAUCCGACUAUUCUUCCGAAGGUCAGGAGUUCAAAUCCCAGCAACCA
rnacentral:tRNA from 1 species